UCGUCCUACGGGGCGCAGCAGUGGGGAAUAUUGCACAAUGGGGGAAACCCUGAUGCAGCGACGCCGCGUGAGCGAUGAAGUAUUUCGGUAUGUAAAGCUCUCUCAGCAGGGAAGAAAAUGACGGCACCUGACUAAGAAGCCCCGGCUAACUACGUGCCAGCAGCCGCGGUAAUACGUAGGGGGCAAGCGUUAUCCGGAUUUACUGGGUGUAAAGGGAGCGUAGACGGCCGUUCAAGCCAGAUGUGAAAGCCCGGGGCUCAACCCCGGGACUGCAUUUGGAACUGUGCGGCUAGAGUGUCGGAGAG
rnacentral:rRNA from 1 species